rnacentral:rRNA from 1 species
UACGGAGGGGGCUAGCGUUGUUCGGAAUUACUGGGCGUAAAGCGCACGUAGGCGGCUUUGCAAGUUAAAGGUGAAAGCCCGGGGCUCAACUCCGGAAUUGCCUUUAAAACUGCAUCGCUAGAAUUGUGGAGAGGUAAGUGGAAUUCCGAGUGUAGAGGUGAAAUUCGUAGAUAUUCGGAAGAACACCAGUGGCGAAGGCGACACACUGGCCCAUUACUGACGCUGAGGCUCGAAAGCGUGGGGAGCAAACAGGG